ACGAUUUUUACCUAAUUAUUUGAUCAGGUGAAAGAUGAACUUUGCAAGGAGAAUCUGCAGCUUGUCAAUGAAAAUCUACUAAAGGAACCUCGUAUUGUGGAACUCAGGAACCAGUAUAGAAUAAUUUGUACAACUCAAUUAGCUGUUGCUCAAGAGAAACUAAAUGAGCUUGACAAGCAGAAAGAGGAAGUGUUGAAGUUGAAUUCCCCACCAUACCUUCUCCAAAGGAUUCAAGGUAUGCCUUGACAUGAUGACUUAUU